CAAGUCGAGCGGACCCGCAAGGGUUAGCGGCGAACGGGUGAGUAAUGAUACGGAACGUGCCCCCGAACUCAGGAAUAAGCACCCGAAAGGCUGUCUAAUGCCCGAUAGUCCCCCGGUUUAACMCCGGGGGUAAAGAUUUAUCGGUUCGGGAGCGGCCGUAUUCCCAUCAGCUAGUUGGUAAGGUAAUGGCUUACCAAGGCGACGACGGGUAGCUGGCGUGAGAGCGCGACCAGCCMCAGUGGAACUGAGACACGGUCCMCACUCCUACGGGAGGCAGCAGUUAGGAAUCUUGCACAAUGGGCGAAAGCCUGAUGCAGCGACACCGCGUGGAGGAUGAAGGUAUUCGUAUCGUAAACUCCUUUUCCCUGGGACGAUUAUGACGGUACCAGGGGAAUAAGCACCGG
rnacentral:rRNA from 1 species